GCCAAUGCAUGCUUUUACAGUAUGAAAAUUGGUGAUUUAUAAUAACUUAGCAAAUCGCAAAGUGAAAACAGGCGAUAAAUCAUUCAAGUUUCUGACCUAUCAGCUUUCGACGGUAUGGUAUUGGCUUACCGUGGCAGUGACGGUUAACGGGGGAUUAGGGUUCGAUUCCGGAGAGGGAGCCUGAGAAACGGCUACCACAUCUAAGGAAGGCAGCAGGCGCGCAAAUUACCCAAUUCUAACAGUUUGAGAGAGGUAGUAACAAGAAAUAACAAUACAAGGCAGUUAAAAUGCUUUGUAAUUGGAAUGAUAGAAAUUUAAACCCUUUUUAAAGUAUCAAUUGGAGGGCAAGUCUGGUGCCAGCAGCCGCGGUAAUUCCAGCUCCAAUAGCGUAUAUUAAAAUUGUUGCAGUUAAAAAGCUCGUAGUUGAAGUUCUGCUAAAAGUAACCGGUCUGCUUUGAAUAAAAGUGGUAUCUUGGUAUGUAUUUAGCAAUGAUGUCCUUUGAAGUGUUUUUUACUUUAUUGUAAUAAAGCAUAUUCAGGACUUUUACUUUGAGAAAAUUAGAGUGUUUCUAGCAGGCCAACGCUUUGAAUACUGCAGCAUGGAAUAAUAAG
rnacentral:rRNA from 1 species